rnacentral:rRNA from 1 species
GAUGAACGCUGGCGGCGUGCCUAAUACAUGCAAGUCGAGCGAACGGACGAGAAGCUUGCUUUUCUGAUGUUAGCGGCGGACGGGUGAGUAACACGUGGAUAACCUACCUAUAAGACUGGGAUAACUUCGGGAAACCGGAGCUAAUACCGGAUAAUAUUUUGAACCUCAUGGUUCAAAAGUGAAAGACGGUCUUGCUGUCACUUAUAGAUGGAUCCGCGCUGCAUUAGCUAGUUGGUAAGGUAACGGCUUACCAAGGCAACGAUGCAUAGCCGACCUGAGAGGGUGAUCGGCCACACUGGAACUGAGACACGGUCCAGACUCCUACGGGAGGCAGCAGUAGGGAAUCUUCCGCAAUGGGCGAAAGCCUGACGGAGCAAAGCCGCGUGAGUGAUGAAGGUCUUCGGAUCGUAAAACUCUGUUAUUAGGGAAGAACAUAUGUGUAAGUAACUGUGCACAUCUUGACGGUACCUAAUCAGAAAGCCACGGCUAACUACGUG